rnacentral:lncRNA from 1 species
CAAGGACUGACACUCAGGUGAUCUAUGUUGAUCCCACAACUGGAAAUCUUCGCUACAAUGAAAAGACAGGAUAUGAUGUUUUCAAUUCUCAAAGUGAAGCCUUAGAUUAUGUGACUAAUGGUUCAAAAUGGCUGUGCAAGAGUAUAACCUAUGCCAGGGCUGUGCUAGGAUAUACUGCCCUUGGGAGCUUUGGUUUACUUCUUGUUGCGACAAAGUUGUCAGCCAGCAUUCCAAAUUUGCCUGGGGGUGGAUGUAUAUAUACAGUACAUCGAACCUAUGCCAGGGCUGUGCUAGGAUAUACUGCCCUUGGGAGCUUUGGUUUACUUCUUGUUGCGACAAAGUUGUCAGCCAGCAUUCCAAAUUUGCCUGGGGGUGGAUGUGUAUAUACAGUAACUGAGAGCCAAUGGAUCA